CAGUCGAACGAAGUCUUCGGACUUAGUGGCGCACGGGUGAGUAACAUGUGGGUAUCUGCCCUUCGGCCUGGAAUAACACGGGGAAACUUGUGCUAAUACCAGAUAAGUCUUUUAAGAGAAAGCUUUAUGCACCGAUGGAUGAGCCCGCACCUGAUUAGUUAGUUGGUGAGGUAAUAGCUCACCAAGACAAUGAUCAGUAGCUGAUUUGAGAGGAUGAUCAGCCACAUUGGGACUGAGACACGGCCCAAACUCCUACGGGAGGCAGCAGUGGGGAAUCUUGCACAAUGGGGGAAACCCUGAUGCAGCGAUGCCGCGUGAGUGAAGAAGGCCUUUGGGUUGUAAAGCUCUUUCGUCGGGGAAGAAAAUGACUGUACCCGAAUAAGAAGGUCCGGCUAACUUCGUGCCAGCAGCCGCGGUAAUACGAAGGGACCUAGCGUAGUUCGGAAUUACUGGGCUUAAAGAGUUCGUAGGUGGUUAAAAUAGUUGGUGGUGAAAUCCCAGAGCUUAACUCUGGAACUGCCAUCAAAACUUUUUAGCUAGAGUAUGAUAGAGGAAAGUAGAAUUUCUAGUGUAGAGGUGAAAUUCGUAGAUAUUAGAAAGAAUACCAAUUGCGAAGGCAGCUUUCUGGGUCAUUACUGACACUGAGGAACGAAAGCAUGGGUAGCGAAGAGGAUUAGAUACCCUCGUAGUCCAUGCCGUAAACGAUGUGUGCUA
rnacentral:rRNA from 1 species